rnacentral:lncRNA from 1 species
UUCAUAAAAAAAGUAACUUUCCCUCUCCCUACCAGAGGCAAAUUGUUAUUUUGUUAAAAUAAUUAUUUUAUUCCCCAAAGGACUGAUUGUCUGAAAAUCAAUUUGACACUAACAGUAGGGCUUAGCUAGGUGGCCCCUUUAUCAGCUUAUCUCAUCUAUCCAGGGACCAUUUCCUCUAACCAUGUCAUUAUGCACUUUUUAGAGAAAAUAGGCUCUCAAUGCCAGCCUCUGCAAAAUUCUUUUUAUCCCAUUAUAGUAGAAGGUGUGACCAUCUGAGAGCUAAACAGCUGAAGAAUGGGGAGCACCUUCCCAUUUUACUGGAGAUCCAGUCUUGUAAUAUUCAUAUAAGCAAGGAAUGAAGGGAGUCCAAACGCCAACAUUUAUCCUCUUUUCUGAUCAGAGGCAUGGGACUUCUGAUCUGACACACCUGUUUCUGUAUCCCAGUAAGAGUCCCAGACGCAGAUUCAACAUCAGAGUCUAACUUCUGAGAAAUCCACACUGGAAAGCACAUGAAUACGGAUGCAACACAUGAAUGUCGGUGCAUUUGCUUCAGAAGAGACCUCAGCUAAGUUCCUAAGUGUUGUAAUUAGAUAUCUACAUUAAAGUAGGAUUAAAACAGGUCUACUAAAGAAAUGAAGUUGUUUUUUUAUCCACUAACAGACAACAGAGGAAAAAUAAGAUUAAAUAAGUGCAGUGUUGUCCCUUUCCCAACCCCCCUUCCCCUCCCCCAUUUUUUUUAACUAUAUGCACCAAUGGGAUUGAAAUGUUGCUGAGCUAUUACUGUCAGUUCUCUGUCUUAGAAAAGGCAGGGGAAGAAUUAAAACAGGCUGCAAUCCAGCAGCUAGGCAGGGGUCUGUUACUCUAAGCACAGCUGGAGGGCUGCAGGGAACAGAUGCACAGUGUUACAAGUGCCAGCUCUGAUAGUUACAUGCUGUAGUACAGAAGAGCCCUUAGUCAGGUAAGUGCUUUCACAUGAGUUUUAGUUAUUACUAUUAGUGGAAGGCUGAGUAACAUUAAACCAACAUGAAAACUGACUAAAGGUUACAGAAUUUGUUAUUACAAAUCUUUUGCAGUUAGCUUGGAGUCCUCUUGGGGUGAGGGUGGUAGAGGUAAGAGCAAGUGUUGUAACAUGAGAUCUGACAUCAUCUGAUUUAUUCAUUUGUUUUUAUUGUUACCUACUUAAUUCAUCACUUAAAAAUGAAAUUAUUAUAACUAAAUCUUGGCCAUAGCCACAAAAAGAGUCAUCUUGGAAUGGACUAGAGAAACAGCACGCUCGUAUUUGAGUUUGUAGAAUCAUAGAAUAACAAAAUGGAAUCACAGAAUGGUUUGAGUUGGAAGGGAGCUUAAAGAUCAUCUAGU